rnacentral:tRNA from 1 species
GUCGGAGCGGUAGAGUUAGUGUCUACGCUGGGCUCAUAACCCAGAGACGGUUGGUGCAAAUCCUUCCUCCGACC